UGUGACCUCAAAUCAGGUAGGACUACCCGCUGAA
rnacentral:rRNA from 2 species